CCUACGGGAGGCAGCAGUGAGGAAUAUUGGUCAAUGGGCGCGAGCCUGAACCAGCCAAGUAGCGUGAAGGAUGACUGCCCUACGGGUUGUAAACUUCUUUUUUAAAGGAAUAAAGUGAGGCACGUGUGCCUUUUUGUAUGUACUUUAUGAAUAAGGAUCGGCUAACUCCGUCCCAGCAGCCGCGGUAAUACGGAGGAUCCGAGCUUUAUCCGGAUUUAUUGGGUUUAAAGGUAGCGUAGAUGGGUUGUUAAGUCACUUGUGAAUGUUUGCGGCUCAACCGUAAAAUUGCAAUUGAUACUGGCAGCCUUGAGUACAGUUGAGGUAGGAGGAAUUCGUGGUGUAGCGGUGAAAUGCUUAGAUAUCACGAAGAACUCCGAUUGCGAAGACAGCCUACGAAUCUGCCACUGACAUUGAUGCUCGAAAGUGUGGGUAUCAAACAGGAUUAGAUACCCCAGUAGUC
rnacentral:rRNA from 1 species